AAACAGUUAAACUUCCUUUUGAUUUAUCUAGUAUUAUAUUAAUUAAUUUUAAUCUAUGGUGGAUGUUAAUAGCAUACAUCAUGCGUAAAAAUGGAACAUAUCAAUGCUAUUAAGGCUUAACGCAGAUAUACAUGGGCAAUAGGGCGCUUCGUAUGAUUGUCACAAUCUUAUCAAAUGCAUCAUCACUGGCGAUUUUCCGAAAGUGGUCAUGGUUUUACAAUUCUUUGAAGAUCAAUGGAUACAGAAAAUUGUUAUAAUGAUGAAACGGGAAGAUUACUCCCCUCUGGGACAUUAUACUCUUAUUGAAGAAGACAAAUCUCAAUGGUAGAAUUUUAUUUCUAAAGCCAUUUUUCAAAUAUCAGUUUCCUCUGUGAAACAAGAUAUAUGUAAUUUUUAUUAUUCUCAUCUUUGAUGUAUUUGGUAAUCAUGUAUUCAAUUUUACAAUAUUAACGAAAUCAAGAUGUUUUCCUUCAAAAAAAAA